rnacentral:rRNA from 1 species
UAUUGCACAAUGGGCGAAAGCCUGAUGCAGCAACGCCGCGUGAGGGAUGACGGUCUUCGGAUUGUAAACCUCUGUCCUCAGUGAAGAAAAAAAUGACGGUAGCUGAGGAGGAAGCCACGGCUAACUACGUGCCAGCAGCCGCGGUAAUACGUAGGUGGCAAGCGUUGUCCGGAAUUACUGGGUGUAAAGGGAGCGCAGGCGGGCGUGCAAGUCAGCUGUGAAAUCCAUGGGCUUAACCCGUGGGCUGCAGUUGAAACUGUAUGUCUUGAGUGAAGUAGAGGUAGGCGGAAUUCCGAGUGUAGCGGUAAAAUGCGUAGAUAUUGGGAGGAACACCUGUGGCGAAGGCGGUUUACUGGACGACAACUGACGCUGAUACACGAAAGCGUGGGGAGCAAAC